UACGGGGGGAGCUAGCGUUUUUCGGAAUUACUGGGCGUAAAGGGCUCGUAGGUGGCCAACUAAGUCAGACGUGAAAUCCCUCGGCUUAACCGGGGAACUGCGUCUGAUACUGGAUGGCUUGAGUUUGGGAGAGGGACGCGGAAUUCCAGGUGUAGCGGUGAAAUGCGUAGAUAUCUGGAGGAACACCGGUGGCGAAGGCGGCGUCCUGGACCAACACUGACACUGAUGAGCGAAAGCCAGGGGAGCAAACGGG
rnacentral:rRNA from 1 species